UGCGAGCUGCUAUUGCUGCUGCUGGAACCAUGCGGCUGUUCUGGUCCUGGCCUCGUCUCUCUGUCAAGGACGAGUUGCUUCGCAGCACUAACGUGAUUACCGCAGACUUUACACCUUUGAGAAACUGCUGUCAGGCCCCCCACUACCCGCACCACCUCCACCAGCACCUACCACUACUACCACUACUACCAUCCCUCCAUCGCCGUGCGGAGCCAAGAAACAGGCCAACGUGAUCUGCUGCGGGCAGUACUGGCUCAUCACCAGAGUCACCUACGGUGGAUAUGUUACUUUGUCUUCUCCUUUCUCUACUUGCUGUUUCAUCAUCAUCUUCAUCGUCAUUAUUAUCGUCGUCGCACUUUUUUUUUUUUGCCCGUCGCUUUACGUAGUUUUAACGACAGUUGACAAAUACAGACAAGCGCUUUUUAUUGGCUAAACGGGCGCUUAAUUCAUUUUCCUUUUGUGUGUGUGUGUGUGUGUGUGUGUGGGGGGGGGGGAAUUAGAGAGUUAAACAAAUUAACAAAGAAAUCCCCGCGAUGACCCCCGCUUCAUAUCAAACGUGAUUUUCUUCAAUGACACGGAUCUUUUUUACCAUACCCCGGACUUCGGCCAUUGUCCCGCUUAAUACUCGAGGCCACAAAUGUCCACAUUCUCUUUGUGUUCGCCUCGUUUGGUGUGGGCCGUGUGUCUGUGUGUAUAUAAAAUAUUCACUAGAAUGUGGCGGUGCAUAUGGUGUGUGGGGUGAAUAUGGUAGCGAUUGUCAGACCAUCACCAAAGCAGGCAAAAAUAUUUCUAGCCCCGGAGCAUGCUUAUGUUUUGUUUUCUACGUUCUAAGAUAUUAUUGGUUGAUCAAAUGAAAUAUAUUAAGAAUUCUGUACACUGGGGUCAACAUGUUUACAUAUACACCAAACUGUAUACAGCUAGAACAUAAGAAUCUGUACAAUUUUUCUCUUAUUGUCCAGAAAAUGAGUGUCAAGAAAAGGCAGUCUCCAAAGCCAUCACAUGCAAGCUGGGUAUCUGACAAGUCCACUUCACCAGUCAGCUGGCAGAAAUAUGGACCAGCAGUCAAGAAACAUCAGCCACCAUAGAACAGCUCCCAUCCCAGCACACUAGGACAAAGUCACGAUGCUGCAUAUUACAGAAUUGAAGGAUGGUUGCAGGAGUUCUGGGCGGACAUUAAAAGAUCCAAGUUUCCUCAAACAGUCAAGGCGAGCUUUAUACUUCCUUGUCAUUGCUUUGAUAACAGCCAUGAAGUUUUUGCCCAUGAUAUCUUACCACAGGCUGAGCAUUGUCAUCUUAAUAGAAGACCAUCAAUAUGACAGCAGAAGAAAGAGAAAAGAAACUGCAAGAGAUGCCGGAUUAUGCUUAAAGUAGAGAUGAACAGCUCAGCAAGAAUAUCCAGUAAGAUAAAGAUGAUAAGGCCAAAGAUGGUACAGAAUCUCAAAAAGAGAUUAACUUUCUGAGCUCCAUGAUGACAGACCUUGUGUCUAAAAGCUCAGUAGAAGACAGGCUGAAACGGAACAAGUACAACAUUCAGCGGACGAGGGCUGCUUUGGAGAACACUUUACACAACACUAAAAAAGUUGGGAAGGGUUCUGCCAGAAAAAAACUGGAGUUUUUAUGUUAGAACUCAAUGCUGGCGGCCAUUGAAAUAAAGAAAAGAAUUUCUUUAAUUUAUAGACCAUAAGCUCUACUCCUCUUCCCUCUAUUUUUUGUGACUGAAUGUUAUA